rnacentral:rRNA from 1 species
UACGGAGGGAGCUAGCGUUGUUCGGAAUUACUGGGCUUAAAGGGUGCGUAGGCUGCGCGGAAAGUUGGGUGUGAAAUCCCUCGGCUCAACCGAGGAACUGCGCCCAAAACUGCCGUGCUCGAGGAAGAUAGAGGUAAGCGGAACUUACGGUGGAGCGGUGAAAUGCGUUGAUAUCGUAAGGAACACCAGUGGCGAAGGCGGCUAACUGGUCCAGAUCUGACGCUGAGGUGCGAAAGCGUGGGGAGCAAACAGG